rnacentral:rRNA from 1 species
GGCUCAGGACGAACGCUGGCGGCGUGCCUAAUACAUGCAAGUCGAACGGUCUUUUCUAUGGAAGCUUGCUUCCACUGAGAAGAUAGUGGCGAACGGGUGAGUAACACGUGGGUAACCUGCCCAUAAGAGGGGGGAUAACAUCCGGAAACGGGUGCUAAUACCGCAUAGUUUUCUUGAUCGCAUGAUCGGGAAAGGAAAGACGGCCUUUGUGCUGUCGCUUAUGGAUGGACCCGCGGCGUAUUAGUUAGUUGGUGAGGUAACGGCUCACCAAGACGAUGAUACGUAGCCGACCUGAGAGGGUGAUCGGCCACAUUGGGACUGAGACACGGCCCAAACUCCUACGGGAGGCAGCAGUAGGGAAUCUUCCGCAAUGGACGAAAGUCUGACGGAGCAACGCCGCGUGAGUGAAAGAAGGUUUUCGGAUCGUAAAACUCUGUUGUCAGAGAAGAACAAGUUGGAGAGUAACUGCUCCAGCCUUGACGGUAUCUGACCAGAAAGCCACGGCUAACUACGUGCCAGCCGCCGC